AUAUAUAUAUAUAUAUAUAUAUGUGUGUGUGUGUGUGUGUGUGUGUAUAUACACACACACAUAACACACUCAUAUGUGUAUAUAUACAC
rnacentral:miRNA from 1 species